UACAGAGGUCCCGAGCGUUGUUCGGAUUCAUUGGGCGUAAAGGGUGCGUAGCGGCCGCCUAAGUUUGAUGUGAAAUCCCGGGGCUUAACCCUGGAAUUGCAUUGAAUACUGGGUGGCUAGAGUACUGGAGAGGAAACUGGAAUUUACGGUGUAGCAGUGAAAUGCGUAGAGAUCGUAAGGAAGACCGUGGCGAAGGCGAGUUUCUGGACAGUUACUGACGCUGAGGCACGAAGGCCAGGGGAGCAAACGGGG
rnacentral:rRNA from 1 species